AUUCAAAUGAGAACUUUGAA
rnacentral:ncRNA from 2 species